UGUAACAAGGUCUCCGUUGGUGAACCAGCGGAGGGAUCAUUACCGAGUUUUCAACUCCCUAACCCUUCUGUGAACCUACCUAUCGUUGCUUCGGCGGACUCGCCCCAGCCCGGACGCGGACUGGACCAGCGGCCCGCCGGGGACCUCAAACUCUUGUAUUCCAGCAUCUUCUGAAUACGCCGCAAGGCAAAACAAAUGAAUCAAAACUUUCAACAACGGAUCUCUUGGCUCUGGCAUCGAUGAAGAACGCAGCGAAACGCGAUAAGUAAUGUGAAUUGCAGAAUCCAGUGAAUCAUCGAAUCUUUGAACGCACAUUGCGCCCGCCAGCAUUCUGGCGGGCAUGCCUGUUCGAGCGUCAUUUCAACCCUCGACCUCCCCUUGGGGAGGUCGGCGUUGGGGACCGGCAGCACACCGCCGGCCCUGAAAUGGAGUGGCGGCCCGUCCGCGGCGACCUCUGCGCAGUAAUACAGCUCGCACCGGAACCCCGACGCGGCCACGCCGUAAAACACCCAACUUCUGAACGUUGACCUCGAAUCAAGGUAGGACUACCCGCUGAACUUAAGCAUAUCAU
rnacentral:rRNA from 1 species